UGCGGGUCUCCUCGCAUGGAAGUUUAAGGCAACGGGUCAGGUGCGGAAGCAAGCAGCCCACCAUAAGUUUUCCAGUGCCGAGGUUCUGGCCCGCUUUU
rnacentral:SRP_RNA from 1 species